UACGAAGGGGGCUAGCGUUGCUCGGAAUCACUGGGCGUAAAGCGCACGUAGGCGGCUUUCUAAGUCAGGGGUGAAAUCCUGGAGCUCAACUCCAGAACUGCCUUUGAUACUGGAGAGCUCGAGUCCGGAAGAGGUGAGUGGAACUCCGAGUGUAGAGGUGAAAUUCGUAGAUAUUCGGAAGAACACCAGUGGCGAAGGCGGCUCACUGGCCCGGUACUGACGCUGAGGUGCGAAAGCGUGGGUAGCAAACAGG
rnacentral:rRNA from 1 species